UCAUGUGGCUCCUCUCUCAUUUCUGCGGCAAAGUGCUGCAUAGAAAAAAGCCUUAACUCGAGUGACUAAGAAGCAGUCUUGCUUACUGGGGUUUGGAGGUAAACAAGCCACUUGGUUAGCUGGCUUGAAGAAAGUGGAAUGAAGAGUUCUGAAAGACACCUGUGUCAUCCAAAUAACCCAUUCUCUGUACACACCCAGCACUUACCUGAUCUCAAGCUGGACAACUCCAAUUUGUCCCCAAAGAGAAUCCUACUCUCCAGUCACCAAAGAACAGAAGGGCUAGCUCAUGUUCUGCCAACGUUUCUUCCUGGACACGCCCUGCCUAUGUCUUUGGCUUUCACCAGUCAAGCACACAAUCUGCUUUUCGUUUUUGUUUUCAGUUAGUUCCUGAUCGUCUACAGACCUAUGUCCAUAAAAUAUUGGAAGUAAGGGGGAAAAUGCCUAGCCACAGUCUACAACUUUGUUUCAACUUACGCAGGCAGGAAGGCAGGUAAUUGAAAAUGAGGCUGAGAGUCUUAGCCAUUAGCCAGCAUCUGGCUACUGACACCUAAACGCAGCCUUUCAAGAGGGCUUAACGUCCUGAAAGUCAGUACCUCUAAAGUCAUGGAGCUGAUUAAUAAUGCCCCUGCCUGAGUCGGAAUUCCUGCUGAGGCUCUUGCUGGUGGUUGAAGAGUCUUCCUGCAGCUUUCAUAAAUUAGUUGAUAACUGAA
rnacentral:lncRNA from 1 species